AUAUUCGGGACCUCUUUUUUUUUUUUUUUUUUUGGGAUUUUAUUAUAUAGUUUGUAUGAUUUUGGUUUUCUUUUUCUUUUACUCGCAUUAUGGGUCUAAGAUUCUGGAGUGCUUGAUUUCUCAAGUAAUAUGCAGGUUUAAUUUCUGCCCAAAGAUUUUCAGAUAUCCGAUAGUCCAAAAUCGUUUAUAUUGGUUUACUAAGUUUUCUUUAAACAUUCGAUAUUAGUAAAGAGACGUGACUAAGAUUUUGGCUAUAUCAAUAGAAAAUGAAAAAGAAGUUUUGGGCCUAUAAACGCUGACUAUACACACAUGCUUCUAUUAGAGUGGUUCUUAUUGUAAAUUGGAGUAUCAAACUAUGUAGAUUGUGUCUGUCGAAGCUCGCAAGGGUUAGAAAAAUGAUUGUCUCGUCCAGAUAAAAGCAUUUUCUUACACAAGACACGAAAAUGUUUGCGAUCAAAACUUCAAAUGAUUAAGCAUUUUAUAAUUUAAUUUGGAUAACGGAUACAUUUUUCCAGGCAAAGGUAACGAUUAUGUUUGGAAAAUCUGAAUCAAGAUGACAUCAUCGUGAACAUAAUUACAUUUUAAGACGGAGCAGAACAACGAGACAAACUACGAAUACAUUGAAAAAACAUAUGCAGAUCCUGCUGAUUUAUGACAAGAAAUUAACUAGUUUUUAUAAUCACACAUGGAAGUACUAUGACUACUACUUCUACAUCAUUUUUAUAGUAAAAGUAGGAGAUCAAAUUACAUGAGAUGGUAAUGGAUCAAAGCUUACCAAGUUAACAUGCAUGAAGUGAUUUAUACGUGCUAUUGAGUAUCAGCCAUACUCCCGUUUAAAGUCCAGUAAGCUACCUAGCGUUUUAUGCCUCAAUUUUGUGAAAGUUUUAUGGCGUGAUACUUCUACAUAAUACGAUGCAAAAGAGAAUUAACAAUGUUUGUGAUAAAGUGUAGCUCUAGCCAUGAAGAAAAACUCAUGAAUGGAAGCAAAGUAAAGAAGUCCUGCUAAGUAAUCGUUUUUUUAGGACAAGAGAUUCAUUACCAUCUCAUGUCGCCACCCACACUUUGUAAUUGUAGUGGAUCGGAUGGUAUAACAACUAAGAAUACGAACCUAUAUAUAAAACGUAUGUUUUCAUUAGUGUAUUGUUAUAAAACUUAUACAUAGAUUUGAGUAUUCAAUUACCACACGAAUAUGUAUUGUUUAGUUGCGAACAACGUUGCACCUUUCGUGGCCACACAAGACUUUCCCCGAUCGCAGCUUCUUCUCUGCUUGGCGCCAAAUACUAUCACGUAUCUUAACAAACCAACAAAAAAAAACUGCGGGAUGUAGAAAGAAACAACAAAAAGUUUUGGGUCGAUUUGCUACAGAAUUACAUUUAUUGUGGUCUUUUUGAAGAUAAAGUUCUUUUAGUUCUUGUGGUUGGUAGUCAAUUUAUUUCAUUUUCGGAAAUUAAUAUUUAUUUUAGUUUUUUCGUCCAACGUAAACGUAUCCACUCUUUCGCUUCUUCUUUCUUCUGAUCAUCCUCCCGUAGCUGAUUCAUGGAGUCAAUCCACUGCAAUAGUUUACUAAACCCUAAUUUCUCCUUAAACCAGCGUCGUCGGAGGAUUAAUCACGCUGUUCUUAAUCGGAGAGAUGCUCUUUUGCGAUCCCUCAACGCCGUGGAGUUGCGGCGGAGCAGGACGUUCUCGGCUGUACGGACUUCUAAUUUCUCAGUUACUGCGGCGGCGACGGAUGUUGGUGGUCGGAAUUCGACGGAUGCAUCGGUAAUGACAACGGCGAUGAGCGGGGUGGAGAGAGGUGUGCGAGUAGGGAAAUCGAGCUCCGCGCUUGAGCAGCUAGAUAUUGAGCGAGGCGUUUGCGUUCCAUUCCGAAAGUAUUCUCCGGAGACUGUAUGAUUGCUGUUUUUCCUAGUAUCAGUCAAUUUCAAGUUUUGAGCUCUGUUGCAAUUUGUUAAUUCACUUAUGAGCUGGUUCUUCUUUGGAUUUAGUUGAAUCUUAUGACUUAGAUGGAAUCGAUUUGCAUGUAUAUUGUUGUUGAUUGUUUGAAUUGGAAAUAUACUGGUGUUUGGUAAUCAGGUGAGGAGUAAAGUGCUGGAAUCAAGAGGAGCAGUCGUGUCUCUAGUUUCAAGGGGUGUGGAGAUUGUUUGGACUCUUGGGUUGUAUUGGUCUACCUUAACGUAUGAUUUUUUGGUUGGAAGGGAUGAGGAAGUUGUCCCCUUUCGUGCUAGGCAGCUUAGGAACCUGUUGUGCAAUUUGGGACCUUCAUUUAUCAAAGCUGGACAAGUAUGUGGAUCCAUCUUUUUUGUUAGAAAAUGGCAUUAACAGGGUUCUCAAAGUUUCUUCUUUAAUAUCUGUUCUAUGGGUGGCAGGUUCUCGCAAAUAGGCCUGAUAUCAUCCGUGAAGACUACAUGAACGAGCUCUGCAUACUCCAAGAUGAUGUUCCUCCAUUCCCAAACGAGGUAAAAUGUCUUGUCUUUUUGGGGAAUUUGUUGAGCAAUAUAUUUUUCUUAUUAUCAUUUACACAUCGCCUGGUGAAGCUAAGUGGUGAAGGACUUUUGUAGGUUGCUUUCAAUAUCAUCGAGGAAGAGUUAGGCCAACCUCUUGAGAACAUAUUUAGCAAGAUUUCUUCACAAACAAUAGCAGCUGCAAGCUUAGGACAAGUUUAUCGAGCUACUCUACGUGCCACUGGAGAGGAUGUUGCUAUCAAGGUUCUUCUAAAUGAAAAUUUUAUUGUGGCUACAGAGUUCAUACAGGUUUAUCAAACUGAAACUGUUUUAAAGCUUUGGUUUUGACAUUUAUUUUUAUGCAUAUACAGGUGCAGAGACCACAAAUAGAGCCUAUAAUUUACCGGGAUCUCUUUCUUUUCCGAACCCUCGCCUCCUUCUUAAAUGGCUUCAGUCUACAGAAACUGGGUUGCAACGCAGAGCUAAUAGUUGAUGAAUUUGGAGAAAAGCUUUUGGAGGAGCUUGACUACACCUUGGUAUCUCAUAUGCUUCUCAAUUUCACUCUAUGCGUUGUUCUGUAUUGAUAGCUCAAAUGAUGUGUCUUAAGUUCUUGCCUACAGGAAGCCAGAAACAUUGAAGACUUUCUGGAGAACUUCAAAGAUGACCCCACAGUCAAAAUUCCUGGAGUAUACAAGAAUCUUUGUGGUCCGCGGGUUCUGGUAAUGGAGUGGAUUGAUGGUAUUCGGUGCACUGACCCACAGGUAUGACUUUCAAAAAGGGGGACAACUCAAAAUAAAUUCCCCUAUACCCUCCUAAAAAGUCAAAAUUAAAGUACAUUCUGAUACUGACUCUUACUAAAUGUACUCAGGCCAUCAAGGAUGCAGGGAUUGAUUUAAAUGGAUUCUUGACUGUUGGCGUAAGUGCUGCUCUAAGGCAGCUGUUGGAAUUUGGAUUGUUCCAUGGAGAUCCACAUCCUGGAAAUAUCUUUGCAAUGCAAGAUGGGCGUAUCGCUUAUGUGGACUUCGGUAAUGUUGCUGUACUGAGUCAGGUAAUUUGAGUUUAAUGGUUCCAAGGUAUCUAGUAUAGCUAGCUUAUGUCCCUUCCUAUAGUGAUUUUCACAUCUAUAUAUAGAGACUUGUUAUUCAUAGUCCAAACUAAAUCUUUUUUUUUCUCAGCAAAACAAGCAAAUUUUGAUUGAUGCUGUUGUUCAUGCGGUUAAUGAGGACUAUGGGGAGAUGGCAAAUGAUUUCACUAGGCUUGGGUUCUUGGCCAAGGAUACCGAUGUUUCUCCUAUCGUUCCAGCUUUAGAAGCCAUCUGGCAGAACUCUGCAGGGAAAGGACUUGCAGAUUUCAAUUUCCGAAGUGUUACAGGUACUUGAUAUAUUGCAUUCCUCAAGCAAGUUUGUUUUGUUUACUGAGCACCCCAUGCACAUUUGAAGAAACGGUGUCACGUUUUUGGUGCAGGACAAUUCAACAAGCUUGUGUACGACUUUCCCAUCCGUAUCCCAGAGCGGUUCUCUCUUGUUAUUCGUUCUCUGCUUACGCAGGAGGGUAUAUGUUUCACACUGAAGCCUGAUUUUAAAUUUCUAGAGGUGAAGUCUCGUUUAGUAUUUUGAUUCUUUCUUUUCAAAGUUAGGAUUAGCUGACAUAUAAAUCCUGAAGUGAGCAGAUACUAGCUAUAUGUUCACUUAUAUUUCCCUUCCCACACUAAAAGUGAACAUUUUAUCUAGGUUGCUUAUCCAUAUGUAGCAAAACGGCUCCUAACGGAUCCAAAUCCUGCACUUCGGGAACGCUUGAUACAGGUUAAAUUGAUAAUUCUGAUUUAGUUUCAUAAAUGCUAUGUUGAAUUGUUAUCCGCAUCAGAUGAAAUCAAAGCUCUUGUUGCCACCGCAUGUCAGGUUCUAUUCAAAGAUGGUGUUUUCCAAUGGAAAAGGCUAGAAAACCUUUUAUCACUUGCAAAGGAAAACGUCGCCAAGAUGAGUAGCAAUCCUAAUCUACGAGUAAAGCGUGUGUAAGUAACCAAGUUCUAUAUAAGCAUUGCUCCCAAAAUCUCACUCGUUCACCCUGUGAAGCUUGAAUUCUAAAUCCGUAUUUGACUCAUGAAACUUUCAGGGAGAGUAAGCUUGACUUGACAGAUACCAUUAAGGACGGAGCUCGUCUUUUCCUCCUUGACGAAGGCAUCCGCAGGAAACUUAUUCUUGCACUCACAGAGGACUCGAAGCUUCAUGUAGAAGAGGUUCAUACAUCAGACGUCACCAGAUUUAUAUCUAUAGCACUUAUCAUCGCCAUUGAUGACUCUCUAAAGCAAUAAAUUUACAUUUGUUCUUUCAGCUUGUGGACGUAUACAGAUUGGUUGAAGACGAAGUAGAUAUUCCCACACUGGCCAUGCAAGUCGUGCAAGGUAAUAGAACGGAAAAACCCCCAUUUUGCUUCCUUUCUUUUUUGUCUUCUCUUCAUCUAUCAUUCAAAUAAUAAAGCUUUUGCAUCAAUAGAAGCCUUAUGGAGAGACUAUCACAGAUAUGCAUUCCUAACAUAACUAAGCCUGAAUCGAUAGCUGACCAUCAAUUCUCUUAUGAUCCAGUAAACAUAGGAAUCUUGGGGCAUUGAUUGUAAAUUAACAAGUAGUUUUGUAUGACUGAAGAAUGUGGUUCCUUUUGUUUUGAAUGCAGAUUUACCGAAUGUUUUCCGAGAUUUUGUGUUGUCAUGGAGCAACUCAGUAUUAUCCGACAGAUGAUGAAUCAGCUUCUCACUUACUUUUUUUGGCUCUUUUUGAAGAGGAAAGAGGUAAUAUAUAUUACAGGGAGUAGAUGGAGAAGAAAAGCGUAGAUUAAUAUAUAGUUUAAUCUUCGAUGCAUACAUGUUAUUAACUUAUACACCAAUCCAUACAUGUAAUUAUAUAAAAGCACACACAAACUUCACUUCACUUGUUACCCAGUUUGAGUCUUGGUCUCUUGGACGUUGUCUACUGUAGUUGGAUAUCUAAACACAUUAAUCGACGUCAUCAAAUCAAAGUUGUAGUGUUCUCACAACACAACUGAUUCACAAUCUGGACUCGAAUGAAUUGAAUCGUUUUGCGUCUCUUGGGUCUUGGCCUCGCCCUCGAAUACUGGAAACUAAACUGAACCAAAUGAUAUUGAGUUAUGCAAUUACACAAAAGGUCCCCUCAAUUAUCCAGUGUCAUUUUCUGCUUUCUUGAGCUGUUUGGUUUACAAAAAUUUAGGUAGGAAUCGGCAUAAGAUUAAAUCUUAUUUGACAGAAAAUUCCAUUAUCGCCAAAAAUUUCAAUCAAUAGGCGCCAAACAUUUCAAUCAAUAGGCGCCAAAAUUGGAGAAGUAAAGGGAAAAACACAAACGUAACAAGGAUUCGAGCUCUCUCUAGACGAUGCAAGCCAAAAUCAAUUCUUUCUUCAAGCCCUCCUCUUCUUCUUCUAUCGCUGCCUCAGUAACAACAGACACAGACGAUGGUUUAGCUGUCUGGGAGAACAAUCGGAACGCCAUCGUCAACACCUACCAGCGUCGAUCUGCGAUUACCGAAAGGUAAAUCAAUGAUCUUUGGCGGUUUUACUUCUCUUUAGGUUCUUCGAAUUUCCUACUUUAUUUGUGUUCUUCAGAUGAAUAGAAAAUGAGCGAUAGGCAACUCCUGAUUUUCUGGGUUUCCUUUAAGAUAUUUUUGGGCGAAAUUGGAUUUUUUUUUUUAAUUGGGUGUCUUUUUGUGUGUCUCUUAAUUUUGGGUAUUCAGAAGUGAAGUGCUUAAAGGAUGCAUCGAAAAGACGCUGAAGAAAGGAUCUUCUUCUGUACCUAAAAAUCACAAAAAGAAGCGUAAUUAUACACAAUUCCACUUAGAGUUGGGCCAAUCUGAUUUUCUUCUCAGACAUUGCGCAGAAUGUGGAGCUAAGUAUGCUCCUGGAGAUGAAUUAGAUGAGAAGAACCAUCAAAGUUUUCACAAGGACUAUAUGUAUGGACUCCCUUUUAAGGUUAGGAUCACACUGACCUUAUUGCUCAAGAUCAUAUGUUUCUUUGAUUAUUGUAGAGGUUAUUAGAUAAAUUGUUGGGUGUUUAUAUUUGGUCUCAGGGUUGGCAGAACGAGAAAGCGUUUACAUCACCUUUGUUCAUCAAGAACCGCAUCGUUAUGGUAUCAGAAAAUGAUUCCCCUGCACACAGAAACAAGGUUCAUUGUUUUCACAAUUCAACUUGCACUGUUUAUGGUACCGUACUUCGUUUCUAAACGAUGGAUCUUUUGCAAUUGCAGGUGCAAGAGGUUGUGAAAAUGAUGGAGGUUGAGUUGGGUGAGGAUUGGAUUCUUCACCAACAUUGUAAGGUAUGAGCCUGUAUCCACGUCUUAACAACAGUCAUUUGCGGAUAAAUUCCAUAGCUCAUGAGUGUUGUUUUGGUAUUUUAUGUCUACUAUAUUGAGUUCAUGGGUAUCUGAUACACCUUGUUGAGAAGCUUGGCGAAUACUUGCUUUACUUUGGUCCACUAUAAAUAGAAAAACUUCGACUUAGUCUGAUUCCUUCCAUGUCUAUGACUAGCAUUGAAAUCAAACAAAAAAGUCUAUGAUAUCUUUAGAUGACCUCAUUUCAAUAAAUUCACAAGAAAGAUGAUAUAACCCCUAAUUACUUUCCUCAGUUGUUUUAGAAACUAUCUUGUUAUGUGUAGGUUUAUCUAUUCAUAUCCUCUCAGAGGAUCUCUGGAUGUCUAGUUGCUGAACCAAUUAAGGAAGCAUUUAAGCUCAUAGCUUCUCCUGAUGAUGAAAGACAGUUACAAAAAGAGAGCUCAUCCUCGCCUUCAACCUCCAUUCAGUUUGGAAACAUUGUUCUACAAAGAGAGGUAUCGAAAAGAUGUCGAACAUCAGAUGAUAGAUUAGAUAACGGAGUCAUUGUAUGUGAAGAAGAAGCUAAACCAGCUGUUUGUGGGAUUAGAGCGAUUUGGGUCUCACCUUCUAAUAGAAGAAAAGGCAUAGCCACAUGGUUACUCGAUACCACGAGGUUAACAACUCUAGCAAACUACCUAAAACAAUUGUCAUGGUGAACAAACAUUCAUACAUUAUGGUGACAUUUUGUUUGUUUGUUUGUAUAAAAUCGCAGGGAAAGCUUUUGCAACAAUGGGUGCAUGCUGGAGAAAUCUCAGUUAGCAUUUUCACAACCAAGCUCCAUAGGAAGAUCUUUUGGAUCUAAAUAUUUUGGAACUUGUUCAUUCUUACUUUACAAAGCUCAGCUAAUUGAUACUCACUUUUCUUAAACGGCAUAGGUUUCAUCACAUCACAACCAUCAUCUUCACUGUUACUCCUAUUUGUCUGUCUUUUACAUAUUAGCAAGUUGGUGAAAUAUUGAUUGGCUGAUCCCAUAACAAACAAAAAGAGCAACACAUUCUUUUAUUUUUAUUUUUCUGUUUUAAGCCGUGAGUGUUUCUUUAUCUAAAGACUGAAACAAGAAACCAAACAUGAUCCAUAUGUCUAGAGAUUUUCAAGUAGAAGGUACCAAGAAGGAUCAAUGUUCAGUCUCAAUUCUCAGUCCAAAGACUAACGUUUGAAGCCGUGGGUACCAUUUACCAUCCACCAAACAUAACCCAAUCCAAUUUUUUGUCUUGGUUACUUCGAACCUCAAGUCUUUGUCUAAUGACCUCUUUAAGCCGUGUGUAACUUGAUAUUUUUCUAAAGACUGAAAAAAGAAACCGAACAUGAUCCAUGUCUAGAGAUAUUCAAGCCGUGGGUACCAAGCAAGAUCAAUGUUUUGUCUUACGACUUAGUCUAAAGACUAAAGUUUGCAGCCGUGGGUACCAUUUACCUUCCACCAAACAUAACGCAAUCCAAUCUUUUGUCUAAGAGAUUGGUUACUUCGAACCUCAAGUCUCUGUCUAAAGAUCUUUUUAAGCCGUGGGUAACUUGGGCUUUGUCUAAAGACUAAAACAAGAAACAAAACAUAAUCCAUAUGUCUAGAGAUAUUCAAGCCGUGGGUACCAAGCAGGAUCAAUGUUCAGUCUCACGUCUCAGUCUAAAGACUAAAGUUUGAAGCUGUGGGUGCCAUUUACCUUCCACCAAACAUAACCUAAUCCAAUAUUUUGUCUAAAGGAUUAGUUACUUUGAACCUCAAGUCUCUGUCUAAAGACUGUUUUAAGCCGUGGGUAUCUUGAGCUUUGUCUAAAGACUGAAACAAGAAACAGAACAUGAUCCAAAUGUCUAGAAAUUUUCAAGGCGUGGGUACCAAGCAUGAUCAAUGUUCAGUCUCAAUUCUCAGUCUAAAGACAAAAGUUUAAAGCCGUGGGUACCAUUUACCUUACACCAAAUAUAACCCAAUCCAAUCUUUUGUCUAAAGGAUGGGUUACUUCGAACCUCAAGUCUCUGUCUAAAGACUUUUCUAAGUCGUGGGUAACUUGAUCUUUGUCUAAAGACUGAAACAAGAAACUGAACAUGAUCCAUAUGUCGAGAGAUUUUCAAGCCAUGUGUACCAAGAAGGAUCAAUGUUCAAUUUCAAUCUAAAGACUAAAGUUUAAAGCCGUGGGUACCAAUUUCCUUUCACCAAACAUAACCCCAUCCAAUCUUUUGUGUAAAGGAUUGGUUACUUCGAACCUCAAGUCUCUCUCCAAAGACAUGUUUUAAGCCGUGGGUAAAUAGAUCUUUGUCUAAAGACUGACAAAAGAAACCGAACAUGAUCCAUAUGUUUGAGAUUUUCAAGCCGUGGGUACCAAGAAGGAUCAAUCUUCAGUCUCAAGUCUCAGUCUAAAGAUUAGAGUUUGAAGCCGUGGGUACAAUUUACCUUCCACCAAACAUAACCCAAUCCAAUCUUUUGUCUAAAGAAUUGGUUAUAUUGAACCUCAAGUCUCUGUGUAAAGACUUUUUAAGCCGUGGGUAACUUGAUUUUUGUCUAAAAACACAAGAAACCGAACAUGAUCCAUAUGUCUAGAUAUUUUCAAGCCGAGGGUACCAAGAAGGAUCAAUGUUCAGUCUCAAGUCUCAGUCUAAAGACUAAGUUAGAAGCCGUGGGUACCAUCUUCCUUCCACCAAACAUAACCCAAUCCAAUCUUUUGUCUAAAGAAUUGGUUACUUCGAACCCCAUGUCUCUGUCUAAAGACUGUUUUAAGCCGUGAGUAACUUGAUCAUUGUCUAAAAAGUGAAAUAAGAAACCGAACAUGAUCCAUAUGUCUAGAUAUUUUCAAGCCGAGGGUACCAAGCAGGAUCAAUGUUCUGUCUCAAGUCUCAAUCUAAAGACUAAAAUUUGAAGCCGUGGGUACCAUUUACCUUCCACCAAACAUAACCCAAUCCAAUCUUUUGUCUAAAGAAUUGGUUAUAUUGAACCUCAAGUCUCUGUGUAAAGACUUUUUUAAGCCAUGGGUAACUUGAUUUUUGUCUAAAAACUGAGACAAGAAACCGAACAUAAUCCAUAUGUCUAGAUAUUUUCAAGCCGAGGGUACCAAGAAGGAUCAAUGUUCAGUCUCAAGUCUCAGUCUAAAGACUAAGUUAGAAGCCGUGGGUACCAUCUUCCUUCCACCAAACAUAACCCAAUCCAAUCUUUUGUCUAAAGAAUUGGUUACUUCGAACCCCAUGUCUCUGUCUAAAGACUGUUUUAAGCCGUGAGUAACUUGAUCAUUGUCUAAAAAGUGAAACAAGAAACCGAACAUGAUCCAUAUGUCUAGAUAUUUUCAAGCCGAGGGUACCAAGAAGGAUCAAUGUUCAGUCUCAAGUCUCAAUCUAAAGACUAAAGUUUGAAGCCGUGCCAUUCCUUUCACCAAACAUAACCCAAUCCAGUAUUUUGUCUAAAGAUUGGUGUUUUCGAACCUCAAGUCUCUGUCUGAAGAAUUUUUUAAGUCGUGGGUAACUUAAUCUUUGUCUAAAGAUUGAAACAAGAAACCGAACAUGAUCCAUAUGUCUAUAGAUUUUAAAGCCGCGGGUACCAAACAAGAUCAAUGUUCAGACUUUUAUUUCUAAAGCCGUGGGUAAUUGUCUAAAGUUCGAAUCAAGGAUCAAUGUGUGUUUGAAGCCGUGGGUACCCUCUUUUCCUUGCACCAAACAUAACCCAAUCCGAAUUUUGUCCCUUAAGUCUCUGUCUAAAGACUUUCUUAAGCCGUCUCUGUCUAAAGACUUUUUUAAGCCGUGGGUAACUUGAGCUUUGUCUAAAAACUGAAACAAGAAACUGAACAUGAUCCAUAUGUCUAGAGAUUUUAAAGCCAUGGGUACAAAGAAGGAUCAAUGUUCAGUCUCAAGUCUAAGUCUAAAGACUAAAGUUUUAAGCCGUGGGUAACUUGAUCUUUGACCAGUAAACUGAAACCAAUUCCAAGUAUAUUUGUCAAAAUAAUAAGCCGUGGGUAAAAGAUCGGUUUUCAGUCUCAGGUCAAAAUCCCUCAUAAGCCAACUUGACGGGACAAUGUCCCCAAGAAAGAAUCUGACAGAACACUAAUAGUUGAGUGUCUGCCUAUGAUUUCUCUUGGGUUUGAAAGAAAAACAAAACAAUGAAGAAAUCAAACAAACAAAACAGCAAAACAAGAGCAACAAAACCACAACCGAUCGCAACAAUAAAGCGGUACAAAAAAAACAAAACGAAAACCAAAACCUAACACAAAAAGGAAGAAAGCAACAAUCUUUAAUUCACAGAAACUUUGAAACGCAGAGUCGCGAUUCGUUUGGUUUUGCAAAACGAAAAGAGAACCAAACAAAAACAUGAUAAUAGCAAAAUUUAGAAACCCUAGAAAUCAAGUGGAUUAGAAGAAUUCUUACAGUGGUUAUCGCUACAAAUCUUCUUCGGCCAUAAAUGUUUCGAUCGACAGAAACAUGCGAAACAGAGAAAGAGUUGAUGAUAUUUAAAUUUAGAAACACUAGAAAUCAAGAGAAUUGGAAGAUUACUUACAAUGGAUUUGUCGCUCCAAAUCGUCUUCCGUCAUGAUAAAGCGAUCGAGAGAAAUAUGCCAAACAAAGAAUCAAGAAGGCAGAACAAAAUUCUAAGAAAAUUAUGACGCUUUCUGAUAAGCUUUCCCGUUUUUAUAGACACUAUCUAAAACGGUGCCAGCUGGCUGAUUUCCUUUUUCUAUAACGCCGAAUUUCCUUUUUUUUAGUUAACAUAACUUUACUUAUUUCUAGUUUCUAUUUAUUAAAAGUGGGCCUUAUGUUAGCCCAAUUUAAAUUAAUGGGCUCGUUACAUCACGCAUAGUUUUGCGAUCAUUUUUAUUUAGCUUUUGUUUGUUUUUGUGAAUUAUUAUUACUCCAUUAGAACAAGUCAAAUACAAGCUUAGAAUUUUUAAUUCUAGAUAAACAAAAAGCUUCACUCUUCUUUUGUUUGUCACAACUUUAUUGUUAUUUAGAUUUUUAACGAGUUUAAUAAGAAAUGGAAAAAAGGAGUUUUACUUAAUAUAGAUUGUUUGAUAUUAUUCCAAGCAAACCAAACAAAACAAAACAAAAACAUUAGAAAAACAAUAAAAACUAGUCAAAGCUUUUUAUGUAUUUUGCAAGAAGAAUUUGUUGAUUUAUUUCCUAAUUUAAAUUUAUAUGUACAGUAAUUUGAAAACUUACUAUUUGUGAAAUACUAACCUGUAGUAUAUUUUUGAUUAUGUUAUUUUAUUAAAAAAGUCGUCAUAAAAUAUUUUAGAUUAAUGAAAGAAACCUUCCAUUAAUUAAUAUAUUAAGGAUAUUAAAAUAGCUGCUAAUAGUUUAAUUAGUGUAUUGAAAAGGUAAAAAUGGUUAUGGGGAUUGAGAGAAAAAAGCUACCAACUGCGAAACACUAUCCCCACAAGCAAACCCCAUCAUCUCCCUUCUUCUUCUUCUUCUUCCACUUCCCUUUGUAACUUUCAAUCUCAGGUCAGCUUCUUCGAUUUCCUUCUUUAUUUCUCCAUGUUUUUCAUCUGCUUACUGAUUUCCAAUUCAGUGAUUUGGAUCCGUCGUUUCUAAUUUCGCUAGGGUUCUUCUGCUCUCAUAUGUUUUUAUAUCGCGAUCAGUUUUCUAAAAUCCUUUGAUUUUGAAUCCGAUUCUCACUCUCUCUUGGUUUCUUCGUGUUUCACUAGCAACUGAAUCGUUUUCAUCGAAUUGGUUUUAGAGGUUUUAUCUUUUGCAUUCUUAUUUGCAGAUUUGAGAUUGUGAAAAAAAUACUUAUUAGUCUCCUUUUACAUUCAUAUAUUCAGCUAAUAUCAAGUAACGUGGAAAGGAUUUGUUCCGUCAAAGGUUGGUGAUUAUACAGAGACUGAGUUCCUGAUAAGUUGGAUUGAGCUUGUUUUCAUUUGCGGAUCUUUGAGAAAAAAGUUUGCAACUUUAUGGCUCUGGAACAACAACAUGUUUGUGAAAAGCGGCUUCAAGCCAAGACCUUUUCUACCCAAGAGUUUCAGUUGACUCUCAAUUGGGAUGAUUUAACUUGUCCCAUUUGUUUGGAUUUCCCUCACAAUGGUGUGCUUCUCCAGUGUUCUUCUUACGGAAACGGUUGCCGUGCUUUUGUCUGCAAUACUGAUCACCUUCACUCUAACUGUUUGGAUCGUUUCAUUAGCGCCUGUGGUACUGAAUCACCUCCUGCUCCUGAUGAGCCUCGCUCUAAGGUUUUAGAAGAGAGUUGCAAACCUGUGUGUCCACUGUGUAGAGGAGAAGUUACUGGCUGGCUUGUUGUAGAAGAAGCUCGUCUUCGUCUUGAUGAGAAAAAACGUUGCUGUGAGGAAGAACGAUGCAGGUUUAUGGGUACUUACUUGGAGCUUCGCAAACAUGCUCAGUCAGAGCAUCCGGAUUCUCGUCCUUCAGAAAUUGAUCCAGCACGGAAGCUUGACUGGGAGAAUUUCCAGCAGUCGUCUGAAAUAAUCGACGUGUUGAGCACAAUUCACUCAGAAGUUCCAAGAGGAGUGGUUUUAGGGGACUAUGUGAUCGAAUAUGGAGAUGAUGACACAGGAGAUGAAUUUGAGGAUGUUCCCAACAAUGAAGGAAACUGGUGGACAUCUUGUAUUCUCUAUCAAAUGUUUGACAAUAUAAGGAAUGCCAGGAAUCGAAGAAGAUCAAGAAUGAGUGAGAGUAGGAGAGGGAGUCGCCGCUCUAGCUAUGAGAAUUCCAACUCUGAUGACAGCUCAGUAGCAUCCAUAGAGUUUCCGGAGUAUAGAGUAGAUGAGAUCGAUGACGAGUUCAUCAGCACAAGUGGAGCUAACAGAAGUAGCUCUAUGCACCAAAGGUCAGAAUAAUCUAUAGCUUUACACCACUAAUUUUGUAUUGUUGCUGUCUGCAGAGAUAUACAUUCUUACUUUCAUAGUUUAUAAUUAUUCUGCAUUGAUAUUAAAGGCUUACCAGUGAGCCUGGUUUUUAGGCACCUCUUGAAUGACAAAUUAGCUAAUCAGGCCCCAUUGUGUGAUAUUUCUGGCAUAAUAGCUUGGGGUGUUGACCUGGUUUAGUAGCUUUCUUGUGCUAUAUAUGAUGGUUACUUAAGAGACAUUGCUUGAUGCCUUGUUUUCUCUGAUUUACAGUUCAAGAAGGCGUCGAACCCGCUUCUAUGAAAAUUAGGUAUUAACCUUCUGUUUCUAUGCUUUUGGUACUGUCUUCUUGUGAAUCUGUAAUGUUCCUUUUCGUUCUUUCUCAGUCAGCUGGAAAAUGAAGCGAAGCAAAUGAUGCAGACCAGCCUAUUUGUAGCCAGUGUUCUUGGUUUUGGACCUCUUUCUUCUUUUUCUUUUUGUUUCUACACAUAAAUUUUAUUUUAGGUUUGUCUUGUGACAUUACUCGCAGCAGUCGCAGCCUUUGUACAAAAACUAAACAAAAAGCCUUUUUGGGAUAUUGUAGUACCCUUUUGUCGUUGUCUCUUCUUUGUUUUACAUGCAUCUCUGGACAAUGUAGAUAUUGAGAGUAAAUCAGAAGUCAACGUUCGUGUAUUAAUUUUUAACAUUUCUAUUUCAGUGAACAUACUCUUUUUAAAGCUUACUCUUAUUACCAAGUAGCAACACAACUUGGUCAAAGACUCAAAAGUACAUGAAAUCAUCAUACAAUCCAACACUUGAGAACAAGUGGCACAUACACAGAAACUAAUAUGGGACGUUAUUGGGCAAGUUUCUUAUGACAUUACUCUUCACUCCGAUCUUGGUACGCAUUGUCUCGCCUCUCUUGCUCAUCUCCUUGCGCACUUUCAUCCUCAAAGUCUCCUCUUUCGACGGUACUGUCUUCAGACCCAGGCUCUUGUACCUGAGAAUUUACCAUUUGUUGGAAUAACCUUAGUUUACCUUGCCGAUUAUCUGAUUGGAUAGACUCGGAUGAUUAACGGGUUUGGAGAAAACAAACCUUGAAGAUAAAGAGGCAAUUAUCUGGUUGCUGUCUUGAGAAGUUGGGCGUGGCUUCUGUCUGUAGUAACGCAUGAAUUCACGGGACCCGAGAGUUUUAGACGUUGUUGUGUUCUCGGACUUCUCCGUGAUCAAGAGCUCAGAACCACCAACGAGUUCUACAGUAUUGUCUGUUUCACCAGAUACAACAAUUUGCUUUCCAGCUUCAUCAACAUAGCUGCUCAAUUCAUAUAUUCCAAAGAAAGGUGCGGAUUAAGAUUUGGCAUAGAACGAGGAAUACAGGCGAGAACAAGAAUAAUCAGAGAUAGAAGAGAGUUGAAACCUGCUGCUGUAGUCAUAAAACUCUUCUAGCUCAGCAUCUUCUUCAUCAUCACCAUCACCAUAAUGCAGUUUGCAAUGACUCUUUGCUUCCAUAUGUUUUCUUACAGCUUCUAAGCUGCUGAAUGGACGGCACAGCUCAUUGCAGUACAGACACAUGAAGUCUCUCUUGACCUAAAUGAUGAGCAAUGUAUAAGUAAACAGGAGUAAGAAUUUCAAAGCUUGACAACAACGAACACUGAAUGGUAAAUUGAUGAGUCCAAACCUUAAGACCAAGGUAAGUGAGAAGCCCUUCAGGAUCCUUGAGAUACUCAAUAUCGGGAAUAAAGAAACCAUGAUGCUUAUGCAUGUGAAGCAUACAGCUCUCUAAGGUCUUAUGUUUUUUGUCACACAUCAAACAGCAGGUUGGAUCCAGCUCAUACUUAUCUGCAUCACCAUCAUCAUCCAUAUCUUCAGCAGAUCCAGACUCAUUCACAUUCAACUUAGACAAAGAAUCAGAGGCUUCUUCAGCAGCCAAUUCCUCGUCAGAAUCAACCUCCACCCAUUCAUCUUCACUAUCAUCAUCAAUGGAACCCCUGUGUUGAACACGGCGAGGAAGUUGCCUGAUAAUCGCUAUAUCCUCCUCUCCGUUGAUUGAUGUCCCUUGUGAAACCCGCAAAACAUGGCUACGCGACUGAAGAUGCUGCUCAUGAGCCUUGGAACUCCUGUAACCUUUAGCACAGAUUGCACAAGUAUAAAGCAUAGGUGCUUCAUUUGAUUUAUUCUUCUCCUGAGCAAGAGCAGAUUGUCUAGCCUCAAACAAGGCUUCUGUAACUCCAGGAACUCCAGCCACCUAACAUAAAAAAUUACAGAAAUACAAAGAUUCAAAUGCCUAGAAGUAACCAAAUCUAUGAUUAUUGAAAUCCUUGUUCCUUAGUAGAAUAAGCUUCAAAACAAAUUUUCAUAUAAACUCUACGAUUCCAUAACCUUAACUAAACAAUUUCGAUAGCAAAAUGGAAAAGCUGUUUCUCAGAAACUUUCAUCUCAUCACCGACGCAAGAUUUUCCCGAGAAACAGAUAGGCUUGAGUUCAAAUUCGAUAGAGAAAGCAGAAGAAAUGAAACCUUGCGCUUGAGAUUGUAGCGGUGCCAAUCGGAUUUGUAAUGAAGGUUACGUUCUUCUUCGUCCUUGAACUCCAUGUUACACGCGUUACAUGUUAAACCAGGCAUCUUCUCUCCUUCAAUAUCGAUCGAUUCUAGAAAUGGAAACUGGAGAAGAAAAGAAAAUCAGAGAAAAGAUAGUUGGGAGGAUAAGAUUUGUUGUUGAUAUGUGUAGAGCAACGACGGCUCGUAAAUGGAUCGGCGAUCGUGUUUGUCUCUAAAAAAGCGUCGAUUGAUGAUGAUUGAUUGCCAUCAAAAUGAAAAGGAAGGCGCCCCGCCCAUUUUAGAUCCGAUCGGGUUGGAACUGACCCGUUCCUGACCCGAUACAAGAGUAGCCCAUUUGGCCCAUUCUUUUAGCCUUUUUGUAACACUGACACAGUUGACGAAUUAAGUAUUACUGUAUGAGUAACCAAAAAACAUUUUUCUAAUAUUGUUUUUAAAAUAACUACUUACAACUUGAUUAAUUACUUCGUUUAAUCAUGUAACUUUUUUUUCUUCCAAAUUCUAAUCUCUCUAUUAAAUUACUGCAUUUAUAAGAUCUAAACAUCAUGUGAUAUGUUCAAAAUAUGAAAAGAGAAGAAUAUAAUACAUGAUUUUACUACGAUUAAUUUUUUUUAAUCGCAAUGUUUUGUUUUUGCCUAAUUUUAUUAGUGGAAGAAAUUUUAACCGCAGGCCUGUAAUUUAGGAAACUAACUAUUCACCCCCAAUUAAAAAAAAAAACAAGAAGACGACAAAUAACGAGAAAUUACCAAUUUUUCCUCAACACUUUCAUUAUUUCCUACAACGAACUUCUCCCUCCUCCUCUCACUUUCACCAUGGAUUCCGUCUCCGGUUACGCCGCCGGAGCAGGUCAGCCUCGAGUCGGUGGGAAAAUUGUUCGACCACGACGCACCGCUGUUGUCAGGACGCCGUGUGAGCGCCCCGUUCAGAGAUCCCGAGAUCCUCCUCAGCAAAACCCUAGUUGGAUCUCCAGGCUCGUUUACAAACCCGCCAGCGUAAUUGCUUCCGGCGCCGGAAAAUUCAUUUCUUCCGUCGUCUUCUCCGACUCUUCCUCAUCUUCGGAGGAGGACGAGGAUUCAUCUUCAGGUUUGUACCAUUUAUUUCAGUUUAGAUAGGAUUAAUUUGAAUUUUUGGUUUAUUGUCUGGUCGAAUCUGAAAGCUACCGUUUCGUUUGAAAUGUGAAGUUUGACUUAAAGCUUUCCCAUUUUCUCUUUCCUUUAAUAUGUGGGACUUAAGAGCAGUUAAGCAUUGUUGUACUCUAUUUAGUUAGGUUACUUCUAAGCUAUAAACUUCAUACUAAUUCUAAAGCUCUAAUUUUUAUUCAUAUAAUGUAGUUCUGGGAUUGAGAAUACCAACCAGCUUUGUUGUGUCUUAUUCUUUUAAUGUAUGGAUUUUUAUAUGUUUUCUUCUUUGUUUGCAGAUAUUGAUGGUGAUGAGGAUGUUGAGAAGAACAAUCCCGAUUUUACUGAAGAGGUACUAACCACCUUGUUCGUUUUGGUGAUUGCUAUGCCACUGUAGUCCUAUGAUAAUUGUUUGAAGUAAAGUUCGUGAAGCUAACACGUUUUCAACUGAGAGUUUUUUUUAUAAAAGCAUAAUUUCAGUUUUUGUGCUUGUGUGAAUAGGACCUUCUGAGUGCCCAGCAACCAAGCAUUCAACGACUCAGUUCUAAGCGUGUAAUUGAGCAGCUUCUCUUGCAAGAAACAUUUGCAAGGUAUUUCUCUGCCUGGCUUUUUGGACAUCAUAAGUAGCAGCCUCCUCGACUAUUCUUAUUAUUUACACCUCAUAGCUUAAAGAAUCUUUCUGAGACGUGUGUAGUUACCAAAUCUAAGCUGAUCUUGUAUCCUGCUUAUUCAUUCAUGUGUAUGUUGUUUCAGGGAAGAGGGUGAUAGGUUAAUAGAUAUCAUCAAGGCUAGGGUUGUAGAUCAUCCCAGCGUCCCCUCUGCUAUUGAGACGAGUCAUGAUGACUAUGGAUUGACAAGCGGUAUGUUACUGAUGGUAGACUGUGCAAGUAGACCGGAUUAGUCUAUGUGAUAACGUCUUCUUUUCUAUUUUAUUUCUAGACGUGAAUGUGGGUGAAAUGUCCAAUACAGCUGUCAUGGAAGCAAGAAAAUGGUUGGAGGAGAAGAAAUCAGGAUCAAGUUCAAAGUAUAAAGUAAGUUCUGGAAACUUGCUUCUUAACUGUUCUAAUUGCUGCAGCCUGCAGGUAUCAACUUUUUUGUGAUAUCUUGUCUCCGUGCUCUAAGCCAUUAUUAUUAUAGAAGGAGACAUCUUCUGUUUGGGUAAAAUGAUUUGAUUGUUAUAUGCCAAUCCAUGUGAUCAGCAACUUAAAGCUCUCUUGCAAAAGUAGGUUGUUCAGAAUUCUGCGUGUGGCCAUCUGGUGACGUUAAUUCUGAAAUGUCCUGAUUGGGAAAUACCUUUUUGUCCGCUUAAAAUGCAAAAGAUCCAUAUUGUUGCUCUUCUUUUGACUAUGAAGACCAUUUACUUACAUGAUUUUGGUCAACUUCUGAUAGCUUCGCUUCACAGUAUUCUUUUUCCAUUGUACUUUAAAUGAUGAUCACCAUCUCAGCCAUUAGUUUAAAUCUCCAGGCAACUGAAGAUGGUGCUGGAUCGCCUGUGGACGUGGCCAAGUCUUAUAUGCGAGCUCGUCUGCCAUGGGGAUCUCCAGCUGCGAAUAAUUUAGAUUUUCGAUCACCAUCAUCAGCAAGAGUGCAAGGGACACCCCUUCCUUAUAGCGCUGGAAACUUUUCCUCAUCCAAGGUUAGAAUUUUAAGUUCUCCAGCAGUGCAUACUUUUCUUUUGGUCAAAUGUUGUUUGAAAGUCUGAAGUCGUUUCAUCUUGGUUUAUGAGAUAAAAUUCUCUGCUUAACUUCUAUUGUUUAUGUUAGAUAACCACGAGGAAUUUGUGGGACACUAUUUCCAGCUAUUCCUAAAGAAAAGUUGCAUACCGUUAUAUGUAUUUUCAAUGGCUCUCUCAAAUUUACCCUUAUUCAUUCUGACAUUGGUUACCAAAUGCAGCUGAAAAGGAAGUCCGGUUCUAAUCAGUCAUGGAAUAUUCAAGAUGAAAUUCGCAAAGUCAGAGCUAAAGCAACCGAGGAAAUGCUUAAAAGUCCCAGUAGUGUAGCCUCUUUGGAACCUAAAUACAGCCCCUAUGUUUUAGCGACUGAUAUGCUCAAAGGAAAUGCUUCGUCUUUGAAUGCUGAUGGAGGUGUUUUUUUUCUUUCUUUAUUCACACGUGGAAGAAGUUUUUCAGUAAGACAUGAGUUGAAACUGAAAUUAACUCUUCUUUUCUGUUCUUUCAGCUGUACGGAAUGAACAAAGCAGAGCUCUACCAAAUUCAGCCAUACCUACCUCUGAGCACAAUCAGGUAUCAAGCACUCUUUACACUAUGUGUCUCUCAUUACCAAGAAAAAACUUGCAGUUCCAAUCUUUCUUGUUUUGGUGUCCUUGUGUGUUUUACUUGAGUGAAGACUACGGAAGCUAAUCAAGCCGUCAAAGAAACAGGAGUUUUACACACUAGAUCUCGUUAGUUUCUCCCUUAAUCCUUAAUUUGUAUACACUCUCUCAUCUUCGCUUUUUAUACUCUGUCUCAUGGAUUUAAUGUGUUCUGAUUAGGUGGAGUUGGUUUGGAGGAGACAUUUAUCUCCACACAAGGAGUCAAGCCAUCUGAAGAUACGAAUACCGCUCCUCAAAGGUUCUUUUUAUUGUGCUUAUCCUUCCAACACAGAUUGUACCUUGUUUCUUUUUGACAGAUAUGUUUUUUAGUAUAUCAAUCUUCUGAAGUUUUUCAACUGUAUGCGACAGUGGAACUGCUGUAGAUGACUUCAAUGAUCAAGAUGGCGAUUUUAUCCAACCUACUUCUACUAUCGGAAACACCACAAAUGGUAUACAUUGGAUGUUGAAUUCCUUUGGUUCUGAUUUUUAGUUGGGUUCUCUUAAUUUACUUGCGCUCCUAUUGAUGCAGCUGUCUUGGCUCUUGGGGCAACUUUGGAUCCUACUGGGAACUCUUGCAUCCCUAAAGAUGUGUUUGAAACAUCAAAAGAAGCUGAUGAAAUAGGCGCAUCACGUCAUACUUCUAACGGUUUCCCAUCUUCAUCACCUAGGUGAAAAGCAACUCCUUUGUCUGGCUAGUUUGACAUGAUGACAUUAUUUCCUCCUAAGCAAAGCCUUACUUUUUCAGUUCACCAGCGGUUAUGGAAGGUCAACCAAAACCCACACCACCAGAAGAAACCAAGGCUUCUCAGCCUAUAGCUGAAAUUCAUGGUGAUGAUAUGACAGUAGGGAAUGGCUCAGAUGGUGCAAUUAAUAACGAAAGCAAUGACAGCCACUCAAGUGCCUCUAACAGUUCAAGCACCCAUGAAGAAGAGUGGCUCCCAGGAGACCAGUCUCUACCUAACUCAAACUCAGCAAGUAGCAGCCCGGGAAAUACCAAGGUCUUGGCAUACAGCAGAAGAGGAAGAGGCCGAGGUAGAGGAAGAGGCAGAGGAGGUCGAGGCAAAGGACGGGCCAAAUAAACUUUGUAAGAUGAGCUGUACACAACAAACACAAUGCAGUAGGAGAGUAUUAUGAUGAGGUAGGAUUAUGUGACAUCUCUUUUAGAUUUGAAUCCCACUCUGUUUGUGUUUGGUCUUUGGUCACUUCGUUAUCUUUUUAGGUUAUCUUGUAGUAUUUGAGUUAGGAGGAUUUGUCUUGUCGAGUUAUGUGGAAUUGUGUCUCUGUUGUUUCUUUCAUUUGUCUGAAAUCUCUAAUGUUUAAUGUUGUAAGUUUGAAGCUUGGUUUCGUUCCAGCUGACGAAGCUUUGUAGUUUGCAGUUUCCAUAUGUUGAAACUCUUUUUCUUUUGUUCGAUGCCAAAUUUUUAAAUCUUUUUUACUUGACCAAAAAGCCAACACCUAAUUUUUUUGGGGGAAAUCUCAAGUACUAACACCACUCAUCUUUUAACCUCGUAAAGUGUCAAGUAAACAAAUUCUGACAUGAUCCAAUAUUAGAUGAGAUCACUCAGAUCAAAACAUUGUAAGAUGAAUAUAAUCAAAUGGGUUCAAUCUAGUGUUACACAAUCUCUUACCAAAGUACAAAAGCAAUAACGAGCGAAAAGAAGAAACCCAAUAACCAAUUUUAUCAAGACAGACAGAAAGAGAGAGAGAAAAAACAAAACAGACAGAAACAAAAGUGAAGAAAAACGAACAACAAAAACCCAAUAAGCAGCGAUCGAAGCUAAAAUAAACACAGAAGAGCGAAAGCGCUCAGACAUUCAAAUCUGAAAAGCCAUACGAAAGAAGAAGCCACGAAGAUUCAAUCGAAGCAGAAGUGUAUUAUUAAGAAGCCGAGAAAUCAUUGGGUUGGUGUCGGAACUCGGAAGUUACUUGUUUUGUUCCGAUUUUUCUUUUGUCUGAAUUCUUUCUGGUCAAAUCUUCCAACACUUGUUCUUCUGCUUACAAGCUUGGGUCCCGCUUCUCAUUGCCCGCUUCCUCCUUCUUCAAUUCGAAUUUCAUCAUUCUUUAGGCAAUUCGAAUCUGUUGCUCUGUUCUCAAAGCUCCAAUCAUUUGUUCAACUCAACUGAUCUCGAUUUGCUCCAACUCAAAUUUCGGGAAUUCUCAAAGUUCUUAGCUUCCGAAUUGGGCGUGAAACAAAAAAUGCGGGGUUUUUCUGCUCUGAUUCAGUUUCGUCUUCUUACUCGCUCGUGAACUUGGAGAAACGGUUAGUUGGAUUGAUUCUUCCUUCUUGAUGGAUUGAUUUGCUAAUUCCAAGCUAGGGUUUGUAAUAUACUCUGAUUCUGAAACAGCCGAGGUUGAAUUUCAAAGCUGGCUAGUAGAUAAUGAUCUCUAGGGUUUGGGUUUUUGGGGAGAUGAGAUUGGAGUGGCCUGUACUAAAAAGCUUCAGCUGAGUUCUUGAAAUGCUUCUGGAUUUGAGUUUGAGAAUAAAUACGUUGAUGAGUUGGGUUUGUUUGUGUGAAGGAUAACUAGAAGCUGAGAGGGUGCAUUUUGUGCACUCCUCUGACUGUUUCACUUAGUUUCGGUUUAGAAGAAGAAGCCAGAAAGAAGUAUGCAACGUCUUCAAGAUCCCAGGAUUGAUCUAGCUGAGCUAAAAGUGCAUAUAGUGAAGAAGGUUGGGGUUGAAAGAUCUACAAGGUAUUUUUACUACUUGGGCAGGUUUCUGAGUCAGAAGCUUACUAAGAGUGAGUUUGAUAAGUCAUGUUUCCGUCUUUUGGGGAGAGAGAAUCUUUCUCUUCACAAUAAGUUGAUUCGUUCCAUCUUGAGAAAUGCAUCUCUGGCUAAGUCCCCACCAUCAGUUCACCAAUCCGGUCACCCUGGCAAAUCUUUGGUGCUUGGGAAAGAAGAUGGACCUGAAGAAAGCAGAUCUCUAAACCCUGACCAUAUUAGGAAUGAUCUUGCUUUGUCCAAUGGGGUGUUAGCCAAGGUUAGGCCUGGAACAUGUGACGACAGGACAAUCAGAGAUAAGCCUUGUCCGCUAGGGUCAAACGGAAAGGUUUUGGGUCCUUUUGCUUAUUCAAGACCUGGUCGAUAUCCUGAUGAAAGAGACAGUGCAUUUCUUUGCCCUGCUGAACAAAAGGCGGUUUCCGGUAAAGAUCAGGUUGCAGCUCCAAUUAGCAGAGAUGAUGAAGCUCAAGUAAGGAUUCUUUCCACACCUCCUGUAAUGGCACCUCUGGGGAUUCCAUUUUGUUCGGCUAGUGUCGGUGGGGACCGCAGAACAGUUCCAGUUUCGACCAGCGCAGCUGCUAUCAGUUGCUAUGACAGUGGUGGAUUAUCAGAUACAGAGAUGCUGAGGAAGAGGAUGGAGAAUAUUGCAGUAACACAGGGUCUUGGAGGGGUUUCAGCGGAGUGUUCUAUUGUUUUAAAUAACAUGUUGGACUUGUACCUGAAGAAACUAAUGAAAUCAUGCGUUGAUUUGGCUGGAGCUCGGUCCAUGAAUGGAACGCCUGGAAAACACAGUUUAGAAAAACAGCAGAGCCGAGACGAGCUUGUAAAUGGGGUGCGAACGAAUAAUAGUUUUCACAUACAAACUAGCAACCAACCAUCUGACAUAACGCGAGAACAACAUUCAGUGUCUUUGCUUGAUUUUAGAGUUGCAAUGGAGCUAAAUCCACAUCAACUUGGUGAAGACUGGCCAUUGCUACGGGAAAGAAUUUCCAUAUCUUUAUUCGAGGAACGAGAAGGGGUGUAAAAGAAAAUGCUUGGCAUGUUGGAUGCUGCAAAUUGUCUGAGUAAGCUCUCUGGUCCAAAAAAACUGGCCACUGAUUUUGGUAGCAGAACGAUUCUUGAGCUCUGCAUCCCAUGUGGACAUGAUGGCUGAUUGACACAACUAUGUCCUGCAGCCGCAAACUCGGGGCAGGUUAGUAGAUAUGAAUGAAUACGUGUUGUUGUAAGAUCAAAAGAAAUUUGGCCAUUCCUGCGAGUAUCAAGCUUUGUGUGUAAACCCAGGCCGAUAAGGAAAUCAAGAGAAAGUUUUGGCUGAGAUACUGUGGGUUUUAGGCAAGAGCAAGGUAUAAACAAUCAUGUAAUAGUUGCAGUAUUGCUCUGUAUGUAACAUAGUCUUAGAAUUGUUUUAGAAUUCAUAUCUUGAAGACACAUUGACAUCACUUUUACAUUUACAUUUACAUUUUUGUUACCUCAUUUCAAUGAAAAAGUUAUUUUCAAAAUCAGUAAAAUUGCCUCAUUUUUAUUUUUUACUACUGGUUGGUUUUCUUGCUUGUUUCGUUUUCCCUACAAGGUAUUGACAUCAACUAUUUCAGAUGAUCCCAUCAAGUAAUAUUCAGAUUCUAAAUCCCUUGAUGAAUCUGCUUUCGGUUUCUCAUUCUAUCCACCAGCAAUUGUUGCUUUCUUUUUUGGGAAACCUUUGGCUCUUACUUCGAAAAUAUGCAGAAUGCGACUCCAGUUUCUUUUUUGAAUGUCUUUCUAAGUUUUCUCUUAAGUCCAUAGAUCCAAAGAACCACGCUCUUUGUUGCUUUUCAACAAAUUGUCCAAUUUUAAGAAUUAAAAGAUCAUGUUUACUUGAUCUUCAAAGUUCAAAUGAAAUCGUUUCCGUCUUUCCCACUUUACAUUACGGAAGUCAACAGUAAAGAGAGGAAAAGACAAGAGAAACACAGGAUAGCUUUGUCAUUAGACAAAAGGGAGAGAGAGACAGAGCCGGUGUGAAUUGGUAUGUACACAAAGGAAAUGGUGAGGCCUUUUUUACGCAGGUUCCAUUGUUGUUCACAGGCUUUAGAUGAAAGAACUAAUACAACGAACGAGGAAGAAGAAGAAGACGGUUAUUUAGAGGAGGUUUCGGCUGUGGCUUUGCAGAUUGGGCACCAACUCUUUAUCCGCAACCACUCUUGCACACACUUCACAUGGUAUGUGUGCUCACAGUGUAGCCUCCCAACUUCAUCUCCAAUCGUAUAUUCUUCCUGAGAAUAACAAAGAUCAGAGUAUGAAGAACUGUAGAGAAAAGGGAAAGAAAACUUCUGAUUUUACAUAUACAUAUCAGUUCUAUAUCCACCAUCAUGUCAUCAAUGAAACGCCUGUAAUCAUCAAAGAUUUCGGUGUUGUUCACUUAGCUAAAUCAACCCAUGACAGGUUUUACUUAAGAUUUCAUCAAAGCCAAAGACUUGAUUAUGACUAACAAAAGGGACAGACCUGGCAGAUGCUGCAUUUGGCAUCUUCCUUGUUAUCACUAGGACUUUUGGUGAUAGACCCAUAACUCAAAGGUUUCAUCUGAUAGAUACUUGUUUUCAAGCACUUUGAUAUUGCUUCUUCUGUCAAAGCAGUGCUUACUGUACCAAUCCUCUCUUCUAGAGCUAAUAGUUCCUGUAUUCAAUCAAAAGAAAAGACAAAACGGUAAAGAUACUACAUCCCAAAACAAAACGUGGGUUUCAAAGAUGUAAAGACGAACCUCAUAUGACAUGUUAUCGAUGUCUAGCCUCAUGUCUCGGUGUUGGUCAUGGAAGCUUAGUCCACCGAGAAGUAAACCUGUUUCCAUGAUAAGCAGAUCCUGCUCAAAGAGAGGAAAAUAUGAGUAACAACACGCAUCACAAUAUCUGAAACUCAAAAGUCAAAACAUGUGUUAAUAAUAUUCAACCUCAUAAUUAAGUUCGAUAUCUUGUUCGAUCCUAUCAAGUUCUGGCAGAAUCUGCAAAAGCAUCCGAGAAACAUAAAACAACAAAAGUUAAACGGUGUUAAGGGAAUUGUCGUAAGCACUAUUUGAUGAUGCUCAGACAAGAUAGAUGUCUCGUAGAGUAAGUAACAGACAAUAGUUACCUCGGAGAUCCCAUCUAAAUUAUAACUGCGAAAACUGUCAUGACUCAAUAAGGAACCAGAGAGGCCAAAUUCUGGAAAACCAGAGAACAGCUCCAAAGAGACAGGAGAAUUGAGAUUGUUUGAUGUUUCAGUCUGAGACAUCUCUGCUGCCGUGACAGAGGAUAAACCGUCUCUACCACUCCCUCUAAUGCGACUAUUAUUUCUAUUUGCCAAUCUCUGACUCCCAACUGAAGCAACAUCGUUGUCAUCAUCCAAAAUGCAGUGUCUAGCCCGUCUACUAUCAGAAACAGAACCUCUCGGAUUAAAACUACGACGUCUCACUUCAACUGGUGGAGGUUCUGUUACAUUCUUCCCCCUAGCUGAGGAGCUAGAACUGCUUUCUCCGUAAACUUUUGUCUUACUGAUUGUAUCUGCCUUCCGACUUAAUCUUUUGUCCAAUCCAAAACCACUUGGAAUGACACCUGACAACAACGGGCUGCAUCCCCGGUUAGCAGAUGUUGACUGGCCAGAUGGACCAGGAUGAAACUCUUGCUUGCUCAACCCAAAUCUCUGCCUAAAACCUCUCUUGAUUCUUGAGCUUGAUGGCAACUUUGAGCAUUCCGCUUCAGGUGUUAUAACUUUUCCAUAAAUAAGUUUAUUGUUCAUUCUUCUUUUAUCUCUUCCAAGAGGAACUUGCAAGAUUUCUGACUCUACCUCGUCUUCACUACCUCUGCUGCUCUCUGAUGAAUCAAUGGCUAUCUGAGAAAACGGUUGCUUCUCACCACUUUUCACAGAAGAGGAGCUAGAGAUACAAAUCUUAGAGGAAGUUCCAAUUACUUCCUUCCCGUUUGGCGAAGAGCGGUAUGUAGACAACACUGAUUUCUCUUUCUUAUCUGAAGAGCCAACAAACCUAGUAAAGUUCAUUGAUUUUUUCUCAUCACUACAAAUAGGAACCUUGCAACUAUUGCUGUUAAAUCUAUCUCUAAAAACAACACCACCCUUCUUCUUAGAGUCAGGUCUCGCCUCCAUGGCUCUUUUACUGGACCACCUAUCCAUGAACUUUUUAAAUGGAUGCAAUACCUGUAACAAAAAUAUUCCUUAUUUUAGUUAACCAAAACUAUUCAUUGGGACUUAAAAGUUCGCCAAAGAAUAAAAAAAAACACAGGAAAAACAGAUCAGAGACUGAAAGAAAACAACGAGCAAAAGAUCAAUACAUAUUCAUACUCUCUGAGACUAAACUGCGAAAACCUGCAAAUUCAAAACCUUUGCACCAGACAUAAAAGUAUUCAUUAGAAGAAAACAUUGUUGUUAUGAAACUCUUGUAAUAACGAUCUUAACAAUCAACAGCCAAACUUAAAGUGCUUCAAUCACAAAAGUCUAUAGCUAAAAGCUUAUCAUCUGUGAUGGUUCAAAUAAAAAUGAAACCUUUCAUAAGAUGAUGAUCCAAAGGAUGCCUAUAAUCACUUCUCAAUAAAGAAUCAUCUUGACAAGGAACUAAUAAAACAAUCAAAUUUCUUGAACAUGAAGAGAAACAAUUCUCAACAAUAAUACAUGUGUCUCUCUAUACACAAGUGAUUGGAGAGAAACAAAAACAGAACAUGUUUUCAUUUUUUGUUACCUGGUCUAAACAAAAGAGAGUUACAACUUAAAAAUCGAUUCAGAAUCAAGAACAGUAACAUCAUUCAUUUCCAAAACAUCACAAACACAAAAAAAAAGUCAAUUUGUCUCAAAACAUAAAAAAAAAUUCCAUGAUAAAGGAAGAUUUUUAGAAGUUAAGCUGUUUAUUUUGUUCGAUGAUUACCUUUAGCUUUCGUCCAAUCUUGUUCCUGGAAAUUGGAAGAUGGAGAAAAAUAGAAGAGCGUUUUGUUCUUGUUGCCGAUAUUUUUUCUUCGGUUUUUUAUUAUGUUAUUUUAAGUAAUUUAUCUUUUUGGAAUUAAGAAUAAAUCAAAUAUUUGUUUUUAUUCCAUAAUGACCUUAAAGCAAAUAUUCAUUAAAUUUUAUAUCGAAAGAAAGAAUCUGAGAUGACGAAGACGCAGAGAUCCUCGCCGUCGAUAAUGGGGUCGGAAUAUCUGACGGUUGGUAGAGAUUACGACGUCUCUAGGUAGUGGUAGAGAACUAAAGAUAUUAAACAAAAGUUAUUAUGACCAAAAUCUUUUUUAAAGAACUAAAUUUUGUUUGGUUAGAAGAUGGAAAAAGAAAACAAAAUCAUGAGAAUUCGAUAAGUAGUAUUUGGUGAUGAUGCCACGACUAAGGAUAAUCUAGUUUAAUUAUCUGUCCUCUAUUAUAGCAACAAACCUCUUAGCCUUUAUCCUUGAUUUUUGUAUUUUUAAUCUCUCUUUCUUUAUUAUUUGGCUUUUCUAAAAAAAAUAAAGUAUCAGAUUAUUUGUUGUGACUUUAUGGUAGAGCAACAAAAUUCUUUAAAUUUAAAAUAUUUGGUGGAUCCAAAUCAAAUGUAUGAAAUGAAUGGUUAAAUGAUUGAUAACAUAAAUACAUACUACAACUGAAAUAAAUACAAAAUCAGAAAAAAUCACUAACACACAUGAUUUAUAUGAACAAAAUUUCAAUUUAUUUUGGAUAUAUUGUAUAAUACUAAAAUCACUAAAAGGUCACCCACCAUUGGAGAUGAGGAAUCGAAAGAAAAUGACAAGUAUGUAAAAAUGGUAAAUAAAGAUUUCAAAGAGGUGUAAACCAUUUAUUACAAGACUUUUUCGACAUUGAUCAAAGUCAAAACGCUGAGUUAUGGGAUUCGUAGGGAGGAAUCGAACCUAUAACCUACAACCUCACAUACCUCUCACAUCUUCCAAAAUCUAAAAACGUUGAAGAAACUCAGCAAAAGAAAAGAGAGCAGCCACUAAGCUUUAGCUUCUAACCACCCAUUAUCAUCUUCUUGGUGUGACUCUGACCCUCCACCACCUUCAAUAGAAGCUUCUUCAUCACCUUUGUUUCCUCCACCUUUCUUUCGAAACGUCCUUCUAGCUUCCCGACGAGCAUCUUUCUUAGCUAUAUUCAAGUCUUUGAAUCCUUGUUCCAACUUGGCUUCAUCCUCUGGAUUGAAGAAGGCUACUUCCAUUUGACCCAGCUCUGCAUAUCUUGCCUCUACUUUGGUUUUCCAGUAAAGACCCAUCUCUGUGUCCAUCUUUUGGUAUGGUGUUUUCAGCAGGUACUCGUCUAUUCCUCCUGCUUUGUCGAUGCAGCGAAGAGCGUGUGUUGUGACUUUGACUUUAAUGUGACUGUCGAAUAUGUAGCUGAACAAUCGCUUCUCCUGGACAUUCGGUUUCCAACAUCUUCUUGACCUGUUCUCAAAUCACACCACAAACAAGUUACCAAACAAUACAGAAGAAAUCAGAUUAAAACUCAUAAGUAUCCUACAUUUCUCUAGAAAGGGGAUAGAUUUCAUCACACCAUUGUUCAAAUAUUGAGAAUCUUUAGAGUAGCAUGAUACAGAAACAAAACAACAAUGCCAUCUUCAGGCAACAAAUGAGAGAUGCUAAACAAAAUGAGGCACUAUAAAAUCUCUAACCAUCUAAGAUUUCGAACCCUCUUAAAUAGUUUCAGAUUUCUACCAAAUUGAAACCUAAAUCCAUGAAGCAUUCCUAAGAACCUGUAGUUUAGCUCCUCCGAUGCUUGAAUAUUAAGCAAAACCAUCACAAGCUCUAAAUCCGACCAACCUCAACCGACUACACAUACACAUAUAAACAGAUAGAGAGGCAUAGAGAGAAAGAGACAAACUUGUUUCCACCGUCUUCACUGACACGGUUUCCGUACUGGAUGUGGCGGCCGGCGUAGAGACCGCGUUUGGCUCUGCCCAUGACGACUUUGGUAUCAGGAACACAAGCCUUGAGCUUCUCCUUGAGCUCCGGCGUGAUAUUCUCCGCUCCAACUUUCUUUACCAGCUUCUUCAUCAUCUCCUUCCCUCUAAACGCCAUUUUCGUUUCUCCUCAGAAAAUCACAGAUCGCAAAACCUACUCUUCCCCAAAUGCUUUUCUCUGUGCUUGGUAUGACCUGGAAAUGGAAACAAAUCGGUUUAGCUAACGAUUUUAAUUAAACCGGACAAAAUUAGCCAGUAAAAUCCGGUAUGGUAUUUCGCCUGCUUGCUGCGUCGCUCGUAUCAGACUCCGAUUGAAUAAGAAUAAAUGAAUCGUCGAAUCAAGAUAAACAGACGACAGGAUCGAGGAGAAGCUGACCUGAAGUGAACCAAACCACAUAAAUGGUCAAGCAACGAGAGAGAAGAAGCAGAAAUGAAACUGACGAUGGCACGAGUCGAGGUUUCGGCCGGCGAUGAGAACCGGCGUCGAUCUUAGCCAUAGGGUUCAAUUUCUGAGUUUUGAAGCGUUGGGCUUUUUUAAUUCGUUGGCUCUUAGGCCCAAAUUAAUUCUCUCAUUAAUUUACGGUUCGGUUUUAAUCGGUUCUAAUUUGUCAAUCCGGAUAAAAAGUCAAUAACAUCUAACAUAGACCAAACCAUUAUCCCAAAGAAAAAAAAAACAUAGACCAAACCAAGUCAACAUGAAUUGAAAUUUAAGAACCUCGGUCCUCCCAACUCAACCGAAACACAAUCAAACCGGCCAAACAUUGUUUUUUUUACGGCAACAAAGAUAUAUCAAAACACAAAUUGCAACACUAAAAAUCAUGUGUUUUAUUGGUGCCUUAUAUAACAAAUGAAACCUUACCCGAAAGGUUUAGCAUAUAUGACAUCCAGACAAGAGAAAACGUAAUUCAUCAUUUUCGUUAUCUAACAUACAAGAAUCAAAACAAGAUUUCACAUUAACAAAGAUAAAGUGUACAUAGUUGAGGAAAAUAAAGGUAAAGAUAAAGUGUAGACAAUAUUCAAAAGGGUGGUUGUCCAACAAUGUUACCAGGAGGAUCAUAGUUACAAAUAAUAAAUGUGUCACCGGUCUUGCAAAAACUGAUUGCACACCCAAUCCUCGAACUCUUCUUCCAUACAAGUUGCGUGUAAUGCAAACAAUCCCCAUUCGCCUUGCAGUGGGAAGUCCUCCGGUCAUAGUAUUUCAUCUCCGAGGCCCAUGCAGCCACCGCAUCCCGUGGAGUCCAACCUUUUCCGCUUCCCCAGAAGAGAUUCUCCCCGUAAGGUCCCCCGGAGUGGAUAAGUUUGCAAUCUCCACGGCGGGUUCUGGCCCACCGGCUCGCAUAGAGGGCGAGGCUAUUGCUCCAUUUGAGAGGAGGGAGACGAAGCUUGGCUCGUAAGAUGUUGUGUGGUCGGAGAAACUGCUGCUGAAUGGUGUUGCGGGCUAGAGCUUUGUCUUGAGAAAAAAUUAGUGUUGAUGUUGUCGGUGUUCUGUUUGAUGGGAUUUGAAAAGAGAGAGAAGGAAGUGGAGUGCUGAUAACUAUGAUAAUGAUGAUGAAUAUCAGAGUUUUUUGUUCCAUUGGGAUGCUAAGUUAGAUUUGUUUCUGAGCCUCUAGAUCUAGCUAGUACGAUCCUUACCAUAUAUAUAUACACACACACACAUAAUUGUUUAUGCUUUCAUAUUUGUACGUAUAUAUCAUCUAACGAAUCUAAACACAUGCUAUGUUAAUAAUGCGCAAUGACAAGUGCUAAUCAUUUCGGUGGAACAUUGAUUAUUUGUAGGGAAUGAUUUUAUUCAAACAAAGCAUACAUUAUUGAGCUAAUUAAUAGAUCAUUAUAUAUGAAGGAAGUUUUAAUAGGAUGUUUUCUUUUUUUCUUGUAAGAAGAGACUUUAUCAUAGCAACGAGAAUAUAUCCCAAGCAUAAAACAUUAUAUACAAACUCAUUCAAAUGAAAACCUAAGUUAGAUAUUUAAUUUGACCACUCUUAAAAUACUUGUUUAGUUAUAACAUGUUUACUAUGCAGAUUUAUGAGGCGUAUCAGAUGGUGUGCUAGAGAACGUGAUACAAAUUUGGAUGCCUUGUUUUCAAGAAAUCUUAUACAUUCCUUGGAGAUCAAUUUGUAUUGUGAGGCUUAUAGUCAUUGAGCUUACCGUUGAUUAACUAAAUUUAUAUUAUAUAGAACAUCAAAUAGACGAAAAAAAUCAAUUUAGUUGACCACCGUUUGUUAGCUAGGUUAUAAACUCUGACCCAAAGUGUCCUAUGCUUUCAGUAUUCAGUUUAUUUUAUAACGUGUGGGGUCGUUUUGGAAACAAUUAAAACAAUAGGGGCUAUAUUUUUCUCAAGUUCUGUUGGACUGGGCUUGUCGUUAAUCAAUAUUUGGGCUUUUGAGGUUGACUCGCUUUUUUCCGUUCUUCGUUUUCCAAAAUCAAACCCAAAAGGAUUUGGAGGAGUUAAUUCACCUGACGAAUCCACCACCAUAAUAUUAAGCACAUUUGAUCUCUCACUUCCUUGGUGCGAGUGUUUUGUUUUCCGAGAUCCAAAAUCUUCUCUUGGAUCCAAAGCUGUGUUACUGUGGAUCUCCUCCUCCUCUCUCCCUGGAUCUCGUACCUUUGAGGUUUGUCUCUCUGUGUUAAACUUGCGACUCAGAUUUCAUAGAGAUCGAUCCCACUUUUGCCUUUUCCUUUGUGAAAAUCUACAAUGUUCAAUUAUUCUCUGGCGCUCUUUGUUUGAUCUCGUUGAAUAUUGAUCUGAUUCCGGUAGGAAACCGAUUUUCAUGUUUGUGCAGCUGAGUGAGACUGCGAAUUAUGUAGAUUUCAUUGUUUGUUCAUCUAAUCUGGGGAGAUAGAUCGCAUUUUUUUUUUUUUUGAAUUUUGGUUGAUCCGAAGCUGUUUUAACUGAUUUUUCGUUUUUAUGUUAUUAUUUUGGUCGUAGUUGUAGUACAGUGAUGUGUAUUGCUGGAUCUGAGGAUUUAGAUUUGUCAAUGUUUUGCAUCUUUGGGUCUCUGAUUGGACAUUACCGAAUAUUCUUCUGAAAUUAUGAUGUUUUCUCAUAAACCACGGAUUCGAGAAUAGAGAUCAUGUAUUCAAUGUAUUGAAAUCCAAGCAGAGAGGUAUGGAUUAUCGCCGAUGAUACUGUUGAACUUCUUGUAUAGAACUUACUCUAGCACUGAUGAGGACACUAGUAAGGUGCUUAUAUUCAGUAAUUCGAACUUGAAAUCGCCAGAAAUAUUAAAAGUUUUGAUAUCUUGUUUUUACUUGUGAUCUAUACUUCAUUAUGUCUUUAAUCAAUUGUAACAAUUUUGCUCUAUUCAUCUUCUAUUUCUUAUAUUAACAAAGGAACACUUGUUCGUGAAUGGUUUUUCCUUUUCAUUUGAGCUCACAGAUUUUUUUCUCUUUCACUUUUUGUGCAGCACCGGAGAAGAUGGACAAAUCUAGUACCAUGCUUGUUCACUAUGACAAAGGGACUCCAGCAGUUGCUAAUGAGAUUAAAGAAGCUCUCGAAGGAAAUGAUGUUGAAGCUAAAGUUGAUGCCAUGAAGAAGGCAAUUAUGCUUUUGCUGAAUGGUGAAACCAUUCCUCAGCUUUUCAUAACCAUUAUAAGAUAUGUGCUACCUUCUGAGGACCACACAAUCCAAAAGCUUCUGUUGCUGUACCUGGAGCUGAUUGAAAAGACUGAUUCUAAGGGGAAGGUGUUACCUGAAAUGAUUUUGAUAUGCCAGAAUCUUCGUAAUAACCUUCAGCAUCCUAAUGAGUACAUCCGUGGAGUGACACUGAGGUUUCUCUGCCGGAUGAAGGAGACUGAAAUUGUGGAGCCUUUAACUCCAUCAGUGUUACAAAAUCUGGAGCAUCGCCAUCCAUUUGUUCGCAGGAAUGCCAUUCUGGCCAUCAUGUCGAUAUAUAAGCUUCCACAAGGCGACCAACUCUUUGUGGAUGCGCCUGAAAUGAUCGAGAAAGUUCUAUCAACCGAACAAGAUCCUUCUGCCAAGAGAAAUGCAUUUCUAAUGCUCUUUACCUGUGCUGAAGAACGUGCAGUGAAUUAUCUUCUGAGCAAUGUUGACAAGGUUUCAGACUGGAAUGAAUCACUUCAGAUGGUGGUGCUGGAGUUGAUUCGAAGUGUGUGUAAGACUAAACCAGCAGAGAAGGGGAAAUAUAUUAAGAUUAUUAUUUCUCUGUUAAGUGCUACUUCUUCUGCAGUUAUCUAUGAAUGUGCUGGGACACUUGUUUCUCUCUCAUCUGCCCCUACUGCGAUUCGGGCUGCUGCCAACACCUACUGCCAACUUCUUCUUUCUCAGAGUGACAACAAUGUGAAGCUUAUUUUACUCGAUCGGUUGUAUGAGCUUAAGACAUUGCACAGAGAUAUCAUGGUUGAGUUGAUAAUAGAUGUGCUCAGAGCACUCUCAAGCCCAAACCUUGAUAUCCGCAGGAAGACGCUUGACAUUUCCCUUGACUUGAUUACCCAUCAUAAUAUCAAUGAGGUCGUUCAAAUGUUGAAGAAAGAAGUUGUGAAGACACAGAGUGGAGAACUUGAGAAGAAUGGGGAGUACAGACAAAUGCUUAUUCAAGCCAUCCACGCUUGUGCAGUGAAGUUCCCCGAAGUUGCAAGCACAGUGGUCCACCUUCUGAUGGACUUCUUGGGAGAUAGCAAUGUGGCUUCAGCUCUUGACGUGGUUGUUUUUGUUAGAGAGAUAAUAGAAACAAAUCCCAAGUUAAGAGUUUCAAUCAUCACAAGGUUAUUGGACACGUUCUAUCAGAUCCGAGCAGGAAAGGUCUGCCCUUGUGCCCUUUGGAUAAUUGGGGAGUAUUGCCUAUCACUUUCGGAAGUUGAGAGUGGCAUUUCAACUAUCACGCAAUGCCUUGGCGAAUUACCAUUUUACUCUGUUUCUGAGGAGUCUGAGCCAACUGAGACAUCAAAGAAGAUUCAGCCUACCUCUUCUGCCAUGGUGUCCUCUAGAAAGCCAGUGAUUCUUGCUGAUGGAACUUAUGCUACCCAAAGCGCAGCCUCUGAAACCACAUUCUCCUCACCUACAGUUGUUCAAGGAUCACUGACUUCUGGAAAUUUGAGAGCACUGCUACUAACUGGUGAUUUUUUCCUCGGAGCAGUGGUUGCUUGCACGUUGACCAAACUUGUUCUUAGGUUAGAAGAGGUUCAGUCUUCUAAAACUGAAGUAAAUAAGACAGUCACACAGGCUUUGUUGAUCAUGGUUUCUAUGUUGCAACUUGGGCAAUCUCCUGUUUCUCCACACCCUAUUGAUAAUGAUUCGUAUGAGAGGAUUGUGUUGUGCAUAAAAUUGCUUUGCCAUAGGAAUGAUGAGAUGAAAAAGAUAUGGUUAGAAUCCUGCCGCCAGAGUUUUGUCAAGAUGAUUUCUGAAAAACAGCUUAGAGAGAUGGAGGAACUGAAGGCGAAGACCCAAACAACGCAUGCUCAACCUGAUGAUCUAAUUGACUUCUUCCAUCUAAAGAGUCGGAAGGUAUUAUUACUUCCUAAGCUUCCCUUUGCUUUAUUGGGUUUUUUUUUCCAUAUGAGUUUUCCUUUUCAAUCUGUUCAGUUCUGUUACGUUGGUGUCUACUUUUUCUUACAGUUCAUAUCCAAUUUUUUUUUUCGCAUUCUCAAAGAAAGUUCGAAAGUUGAUAGUGGCAUGUUAUGUUUAUUUAUUUCGGUCAGUAGUUGAAAUUACUGACGAUAAGUUUCUUUCAGGGAAUGAGUCAACUUGAGUUGGAAGACCAAGUACAAGAUGACCUAAAGCGUGCAACUGGAGAAUUCACCAAGGACGAGAACGAUGCUAACAAACUUAACCGCAUUCUUCAACUCACAGGAUUCAGUGACCCAGUCUAUGCUGAAGCAUAUGUGACGGUACACCAUUAUGAUAUUGCUCUUGAAGUUACAGUAAUCAACCGAACCAAGGAAACCCUUCAGAACUUGUGCUUGGAGUUAGCAACCAUGGGUGAUCUCAAACUUGUUGAGCGUCCUCAGAACUACAGUCUGGCACCUGAAAGAAGCAUGCAGAUUAAAGCAAACAUCAAGGUGUCGUCCACAGAGACGGGAGUCAUAUUCGGGAACAUCGUCUAUGAGACAUCAAAUGUAAUGGAGCGAAACGUCGUUGUUCUUAAUGACAUACACAUUGAUAUCAUGGACUAUAUCUCCCCUGCUGUGUGUUCAGAGGUUGCUUUCAGAACUAUGUGGGCAGAGUUCGAAUGGGAAAACAAGGUAAUUUAUUGAAACCUUUUAUAGUUGUACCUUCUUUUCGUAUGUUUGUUGGAGUUUGGUAUAACCAAUUCCUGUUGUAUUCUUUAUGUCAGGUUGCUGUGAACACCACAAUACAAAACGAAAGAGAAUUCCUCGACCACAUUAUCAAAUCUACAAACAUGAAAUGUCUCACUGCUCCGUAAGUGUAAAUUCUUCUUUCAUCCUGUAGAAACGAAAAACUCUUCUUACUAAUUAAUACUUCUUUACUUGCAGAUCCGCAAUAGAAGGCGAAUGUGGAUUCCUUGCAGCAAACUUAUACGCAAAAAGUGUAUUUGGUGAGGAUGCUCUUGUGAAUGUGAGUAUUGAGAAGCAAACGGAUGGAGCAUUGAGUGGUUACAUAAGGAUAAGGAGCAAGACGCAAGGGAUUGCCCUAAGUCUUGGGGACAAAAUCACCCUCAAACAAAAGGGUAGUAGCUGAGGUUAGCUAAUCUUUUCAAAACAUAUUCUAUUUCUCGAUUAAUACAUGUUUUAAUCCUUAAACCGCAAUUGGUCUAAAUUUCAGUACCAUACCGAUGAUUUCUCACAGUGGCGUGCAAAGGUAACAGGUUUAGACUACGUACGUUUCUCUUGAGCAAUUAUCGUUGGUUGAAUCUGCUUAUUAUAUGGAGGGAGGAGGCGUUCAAGGGUAUAUGUAAAAAGAGUAAUUGGCUAUCGUUCUUACUUAACCGGUAUAUUUUCUGGUAUGGUACCGAUGGAUUUCUUCAUCUCAUAUGGCAGUGUGUUUUUUACUGUACUAGACGAUUUUGUUUUAUUUGUAAUGCUUUUUCUUCUAUAAUGUCGUUUGUUGAGGACUUUAAACCGUGAACUUUAUGAUAUUGUAGAUUUCAAAGCUACAUUUGGUUUGCUCCAUUUUAGAACUCGUCAUUUCAGAUUUGAUCUCUAUUCUUUUCUUUCAUAUGCAUUUGAAGUGAACUAUUCAAUUGUCAAAGCUAGACUUUAAUUUGCUAGUAGCUAUAUAAUACGGGUUAUGUUAGCAAGUAAGUUGUAAUGAAACGCAUGUAUUAAUAUGGACCAUAUUCAAAAUCUACAAGCCAAAGAAACCAAUUGCUUCACAACCAAACCCAUAACAUUUGAUUCUUACAGCCUUUUCUAUUCUCAAGAAAACCAAGCAAUAAUUUUUAAGCAAAAUUUAAUAAUCUUAAAUCACUUGCCUCAAGGUACCAAGGGACGAUCACAUACACAUUCGCGUAACUAGAUAUCGCUAACAUCAUUAGACAAGAAAAUACUAGACGCGAGUAGAAGAGGAAAGAUCCAAAUACAUCAUCUUCUAUCAUAAAAUCAUCCAUCUCUAACCGAAAGUUGGAGCACGUUUCAAGGAAAAACUGACAUAAUUCCUAAUUACGCUCACUUUUAAAAGUUUGGGGUCGUUUUGGAAACAAUAAAAAAGUAGGGGCUAUGCUUUCUCAACUUCUAUUGGACUGGGCUUGUCAACAAUCAAUAUUUGGGCCUGCGAGGUUGACUCGCUUCUUUCCGUUCUUCGUUUUCCAAACAGAAGGAAAAAAAACUAAAAAACAAAAUCGGAUUUGGAGGAGUAAACACAAGGGAAGACGAAUCCACGAUAAUAUUAAGGACAUUUCAUAAUCUCUCACUUUGUGCGAGUGUUUUUUUUUCCGAGAUCCAAAAUCUUCUAACGGAUCCAAAGCUUUGUUACUCCGUGGAUCUCCUACCUUGAGGUUCGUCUCUAUCUGUUAAACUUGCGACUCAGAUUUCGUAGAGAUCGAUCCCACUUUUGCUUUUCCUUUGUGAAAAUCUACAAUGUUCAAUAUUCUCUGGCGUUCUUUGCUUGAUCUCGUUGAAUAUUGAUCCGAUCCCGGUAGGCAAACGAUUUUCAUGUUUGUGCAGCUGAGUGAGACUGCGAACUAUGUAGAUUCCAUUGUUUGUUCAUCAAAUCUGGGGAGAUAUAUUGCAUUUGUGAUAUGAACUUUGGUUGAUCCGAAGCUUUUUUAUUAUUCGAUUUUAUGUUAAUGUUUUGGUCGUAGUUGUAGUAAAAGUGAUGUGUAUUGCUGGAUCUGAGGAUUUGAAUUUGUCAAUGUCUUGCAUCUUUGGGUCGUUGAUUAGACAUUACCGAAUAUUCUUCAGCGAUUAUGAUGCUUUCUCAUAUACCGUGGAUUUGAGAACAUAGAUGCUUUCUUCAUUGUACUGAAAUAUAUGUAGAGAGGUGUAGAUUAUUAUUGCUGAGUAGUAUUAUGGGGAUACUCUGAAACUUCUUGUUUAGAACUUACUCGAGCAGUGAUGAAGAUACUAGUAAGGUGCUUAUACUAACUUAGUAAUUAAAAGAAAAUUCUUAAAAUUUUGGAUAUAUUGAUUGUUACCUGUGAUCUAUACUACUUCAUUUUAUCUUUAAAUCGAUUUUCAGUAUUUUAGGUUCCUAUUCUCUAUUCGCUUUGAAUUUCUUAUGUUAACAUAGGUACACUUGUUCUUGCAUGAUUUUUCCUUUUCAUAUGAGCUCACAAUUUUAUUUUAUUUUUCACUCUUUGUGCAGCACCUGAAAAGAUGGACAAAUCUAGUACCAUGCUUGUUCACUAUGACAAAGGGACUCCAGCAGUUGCUAAUGAGAUUAAAGAAGCUCUCGAAGGAAAUGAUGUUGAAGCUAAAGUUGAUGCCAUGAAGAAGGCAAUUAUGCUUUUGCUGAAUGGUGAAACCAUUCCUCAGCUUUUCAUUACCAUUAUAAGAUAUGUGCUGCCUUCUGAAGACCACACCAUCCAAAAGCUUCUGUUGCUGUACCUGGAGCUGAUUGAAAAGACAGAUUCGAAGGGGAAGGUGUUGCCUGAAAUGAUUUUGAUAUGCCAGAAUCUUCGUAAUAACCUUCAGCAUCCGAAUGAGUACAUCCGUGGAGUGACACUGAGGUUUCUCUGUCGGAUGAAGGAGACUGAAAUAGUGGAACCUUUGACUCCAUCAGUGUUACAAAAUCUGGAGCAUCGCCAUCCAUUUGUUCGCAGGAAUGCAAUUCUGGCAAUCAUGUCGAUAUAUAAACUUCCACAUGGCGACCAACUCUUCGUGGAUGCACCUGAAAUGAUCGAGAAAGUUCUAUCAACAGAACAAGAUCCUUCUGCCAAGAGAAAUGCAUUUCUAAUGCUCUUUACCUGUGCCGAAGAACGUGCAGUGAAUUAUCUUCUGAGCAAUGUUGACAAGGUUUCAGACUGGAAUGAAUCACUUCAGAUGGUGGUGCUGGAGCUGAUUCGAAGUGUGUGUAAGACUAAACCAGCGGAGAAGGGAAAAUAUAUUAAAAUUAUUAUUUCUCUGUUAAGUGCUACUUCUUCUGCAGUUAUCUAUGAAUGUGCUGGGACACUUGUUUCUCUCUCAUCUGCCCCUACUGCUAUUCGAGCUGCUGCCAACACCUACUGCCAACUUCUUCUUUCUCAGAGUGACAACAAUGUGAAGCUUAUCUUGCUCGAUCGGUUGUAUGAGCUUAAGACAUUGCACAGAGAUAUCAUGGUUGAGCUGAUAAUCGAUGUGCUCAGAGCACUCUCAAGCCCAAACCUUGAUAUCCGCAGGAAGACACUUGACAUUGCCCUUGACUUGAUUACCCAUCAUAAUAUUAAUGAAGUCGUUCAAAUGUUGAAGAAAGAAGUUGUGAAGACACAGAGUGGAGAACUUGAGAAGAAUGGAGAGUACAGGCAAAUGCUUAUUCAAGCCAUCCAUGCUUGUGCAGUUAAGUUCCCCGAAGUUGCAAGCACAGUGGUCCAUCUUCUGAUGGAUUUCCUGGGAGAUAGCAACGUGGCUUCAGCUCUUGACGUGGUUGUUUUCGUUAGAGAGAUAAUAGAAACAAAUCCCAAGUUGAGAGUUUCAAUCAUCACCAGGUUGUUGGACACGUUCUAUCAGAUCCGUGCAGGAAAGGUCUGCCCUUGUGCACUUUGGAUCAUUGGUGAGUAUUGCCUAUCACUUUCAGAAGUUGAGAGUGGCAUUUCAACUAUUACACAAUGCCUUGGCGAAUUACCAUUUUACUCUGUUUCUGAGGAGUCUGAGCCAACUGAGACAUCAAAGAAGAUUCAGCCUACCUCUUCUGCCAUGGUGUCCUCUAGAAAGCCAGUUAUUCUUGCUGAUGGAACUUAUGCUACACAAAGCGCAGCCUCUGAAACCACAUUCUCCUCGCCUACAGUUGUUCAAGGAUCACUGACUUCUGGAAAUUUGAGGGCACUCCUUCUAACUGGUGAUUUUUUCCUCGGAGCUGUGGUUGCUUGCACGUUGACCAAACUUGUUCUUAGGUUGGAAGAGGUUCAGUCUUCCAAAACUGAAGUAAACAAGACAGUAUCACAGGCUUUGCUAAUCAUGGUUUCUAUUUUGCAACUUGGGCAAUCUCCUGUUUCUCCACACCCUAUUGAUAAUGAUUCGUAUGAGCGGAUUAUGUUGUGCAUAAAAUUGCUUUGCCAUAGGAAUGUUGAGAUGAAAAAGAUAUGGUUGGAAUCCUGCCGCCAGAGUUUUGUCAAGAUGAUUUCUGAAAAACAGCUUAGAGAGAUGGAGGAACUGAAGGCAAAGACCCAAACAACUCAUGCUCAACCGGAUGAUCUAAUUGACUUCUUCCAUCUAAAGAGUCGGAAGGUAAUAUUAUUAUUUUCUAAGCUUUCCCUCGCUUUAUUGUGUGUUCUUUUCCUUAUGAUUUUCCUUCGCACUCUGUUUAGUUUUUAUCUGCUUUCUCUUACAGUUCAUAUCCGAUUUUUUCUCCAUUUUUAAAGAAAGAUGGCAAAAGUAUAUAAUGGCAUGUUAUGUUUAUUUCUUUUGGUCUGUAGAUGAGCUUACUGAUGAUAAAUUUCUUUCAGGGAAUGAGUCAACUUGAGUUGGAAGACCAGGUACAAGAUGACCUAAAGCGUGCAACUGGAGAAUUCACCAAGGACGAGAACGAUGCUAACAAACUUAACCGCAUUCUUCAACUCACAGGAUUCAGUGACCCAGUCUAUGCUGAAGCAUAUGUAACGGUACACCAUUAUGAUAUUGCUCUUGAAGUUACAGUAAUCAACCGAACCAAGGAAACCCUUCAGAACUUGUGCUUGGAGUUAGCAACCAUGGGUGAUCUCAAACUUGUUGAGCGUCCUCAGAACUAUAGUCUGGCACCUGAAAGAAGCAUGCAGAUUAAAGCAAACAUCAAGGUCUCGUCCACAGAGACAGGAGUCAUAUUCGGGAACAUCGUCUAUGAGACAUCAAAUGUAAUGGAGCGCAAUGUUGUGGUUCUUAACGACAUACACAUUGAUAUCAUGGACUAUAUCUCCCCUG
rnacentral:lncRNA from 1 species